GAUCUUACUGGGGGACCCUUAAUUAAUUACUGCUCACUUUUAUAAAAUUCGUGCCAUUAAAUUAGUUGACGUCAUCUUUCGGCUUAGAAACGCGUGACAAGUGAAUGAUAACUUUCGUUCCCGAUAUACGCGAGUUAAGGGCGGAAAUUUAGGCGAAAGCCGGACGAGUUUCUGAUACGAGCGAAUUUAAUUAAAUCGCCUUUCUUUCCCCUUUUUAAGUAACGUCUCUGGGGUUCAACGCUCACAUAUGGAGGCAAAGUUAAUUGGAACUUGUGGGCAUUUUACAGUCAGUAGUUCGAGUUCUAAAUUCAUGUUUGUAACUUACUCUCAAAUGGUUUUGUCAUUCUGGAUUACUGUGCGAAAUAAUGUGCUAAUUGUGCUCCAUCGUAGGAGUUUUUAAUGUAGAAAGUGUUACGCAAUUCAAAUUCUUAAGUAAAAUUGAGUAAUUAGAAUUACUUAUUGGAGGAGUCAUCGUCCCGGUGCGUCGAUUUGUGGAAUGCGUGAGACAUUCUGCGGGCAGAAGGCGUCGGCGUCGUCUUACGUAAGUGGCCAAUUUGCGUUGCGGAUAUCAAUGAACCAAAAACGACACGACAAAACAAUAGCCGAAAAGGGAUCGCGGGCCCAAAUUUAAAAACGUGCGUUUAGGUGCGAGAUGAAGAAUGGAGGAGAGACCACGUCGGCACACAUGUGCGAACACAUGGUAUAUUCUAUAAUUAUCAGCCCUCGCAGAGGCAGCCGCCGGCCGGGGGGGCUUCUCUCUCAGCUCGCCACAGAUGUAUUUUAAGAAAAGACAAAUUUGGGAAGAGGGGCUGGCUGUACGCCUGUCUUCCUUUGCGGUCGCACCAAUGGCGUGCACGGGGCCAUUUUUAGACUAUAGCGGCCUAAGAGGUAUCCUAAACAGUUGCUUGUAAAUGCAGGGUGCAUUUAGUUGUGGACCAAAAGCCUUCCCUGAAGUGCCGAUACGGAGACCUUCGAGAGUUCCGUGCUUCCUUACUUCCCAUAGUGCUUAAGACGUAUGGAAUGUAAAGAAGUAUGGAGCAAACGGGGGCUAAUCGAACGUCCAACCCUUCGUGAAGUGCACUCGGAUUGUCGUGAUUGGAUUUAACGCUACGUGAUUGUGAUUUAAAUGAAGUGCGCGAUUGUUAUGUAAUCGAAUUUUCAAAAUUGAACUUCUUAUAUCAUAAGAGAUAAUAUGUAACGUGCAAUGCGGUGCUGUACGAUAAGUUGCCUAAAAUUAGAUUUGGGAUACCUUUUUUGGUGCGACGAAAAUACGCAAGGAUGCCAAAAAUAUCCGAAACAGUCAUAAUAUCCCCAUCAAUAACUGAUUGAUUUGGUUAUACGACAGUUUACAUGAAAUUUGAUUUUCUACCCUUCACAACUCAAUAUUGUGAAGUUUAUAAUUUAUGAGGGGUGUCAUUAACAAUGUAGGUAUGAACGAGUGUGCUUGGGGGUUUCCGAUUUGGGAUCAAGGAUUAGCUAUACAACUAUCGAUUUAUGGACUACUAAAUUAGGAGUGAUGCGGUAGCCAAAAUCCGGCGUUAUAUAACUUCAAAAAGGCAGUUUUAUAAUUAGAUUUGCUUUCCGUACAAUAAUCGUUAAUGUGCCCAAUUUUCUAGCAAAAUUUUCUUAUGGACGCCAAUUUCACAAUCUACAACUCUGAAUGUUUGUAGUGGAAUCAUUUUCUAAAAAAAAUUGUUUCUUCAAAAUUAUUCAGGACGCGUGUAAUUUUGAAACAGUUCCUCGAUUCACAAUGUUUUUUCGUAAGGGGUGUGUUCGAAAAUUUUGGAGCAAGUUGAAAAUUUUUUGGCUUAGGACCUAAAACUUGGUGCGACUUUAUACUGGAUUUAACUGAAAUUGUCAUAAGACGCAACUAUUUUUCAAAAUUAUUGCUAUGAAAAAGCCCGGAGAUGAAGUUCCAUUAGAAAAAUCUGAGUCGGAAUCAGAUGUUCUCAUCAGGAUUUUCGCAUUGAAUCAAAUCAAAUCUAAAAAGGUCAGGAAGGUGAAAAUAGACUUGUAAUUGAAAGCAAAUCAAAAGAUCUAGAGAUUAGCCAAAUAAAAACUUGUGAACCAAGGGACAAAUCUCAGUGUAGUGACGCCCUUAGAACCUGUCAAAGUAAUAAACUGAAAAUUUACUUUAAAAAUUUGGAUAAACACGAUUUAAUACAAGCGCAUGCGAACUUUGAAUUACGAACCAAUCUAACAGUAUAAAUAUUUGUAUGUUUAUUGUGAAACAACAAAAUAUACGUGUACGUCGCGCAUAAAGGAGGGAUCGUAAGCACUUUGGGGUUAACACAGCAUCUUCCCUCGACGUUCGGAUCCUUAAGCUAUUUUCAAACGAAAACUAUUUACCGCUGUCGGAUAAUUAUUUUGCAAGUUGUAGGUAAACAAAAGUUAUUAUACGAUCCUAUGCACACCGAAUUUGGAAUUUAACUAAACAGUUGAAGUUUAUGUUUUCCAGUGGACGCGGUUGAGAGCUAAUUUUAACGAAAAUUCGACAAACUUCCUAUACUACCGGAUCAUAAAUACAGUUCACCCACACAUUGUGAUACUACUGUCGUGGCACCAAAUACUUUAAAAGUGACACUUUUCUGUCGGUUUUGUGACACUUGAAUGUGUACAGUCACGGAUAAAAUUAAUGAAGCUUAAAUUAAAUUGAACUAUCUAGAGGUCGUUAAUAUUGUCCGUUAUCGUACAACGCUAUGUGUAAAUACCAGCAUGUUAAAUUAGGAUAUUUAUGGAUAAAUUGUAAUAUUUGUACACUGCGAAUGUAAAUUAAAAAAAUAAA